AAGGACGGUACUUACGUAAGCAAC
rnacentral:miRNA from 1 species